rnacentral:rRNA from 1 species
AUUGAACGCUGGCGGCAUGCUUUACACAUGCAAGUCGAACGGCAGCGCGGGCUUCGGCCUGGCGGCGAGUGGCGAACGGGUGAGUAAUGCAUCGGAACGUGCCCAGUAGUGGGGGAUAGCCCGGCGAAAGCCGGAUUAAUACCGCAUACGACCUGAGGGUGAAAGCGGGGGACCGAAAGGCCUCGCGCUAUUGGAGCGGCCGAUGUCGGAUUAGCUAGUUGGUGAGGUAAAGGCUUACCAAGGCGACGAUCCGUAGCUGGUCUGAGAGGACGACCAGCCACACUGGGACUGAGACACGGCCCAGACUCCUACGGGAGGCAGCAGUGGGGAAUUUUGGACAAUGGGGGCAACCCUGAUCCAGCCAUGCCGCGUGCGGGAAGAAGGCCUUCGGGUUGUAAACCGCUUUUGUUCGGGAAGAAAUCCUCUGGGCUAAUACCCCGGGGGGAUGACGGUACCGGAAGAAUAAGCACCGGCUAACUACGUG